GGAGUAUCCUUUAAAUCACACUGGGAACACUUAUAGUAAGGCACAUGUUUACUCAGCUGUCUGUUCCCCCUUCCAGAAUGAGAGGAGCUUCCUGAGGCAGUGACUGUGCCUCAUCCACCUUCGAAUACCAGGGCUCAGCACCAGAGUCAGAAAAACUUUUAGGCUAAGUACCUCAUUUUACUACAGCCUUUAAAAAGGAAAGACCACAAGAAAGGAACCUUCCAGAUAAUGAAUACUGAACAGGAAGAAGAAAAAGAAGCUGGUGCUCCCAUGACAGAUAAUAUCCCCAGAGGCUGUAAGAGAAGACAAUAAACAAACAAAAAACAAUAAAAGGAAGAAAUUUGAGUGUGAACAGUCCCUACAGUCCCUGCUUGACAACCCCCUCAAGGACUUAUCAAUAAGAUAGUAAGUGUCAAAGUGCUUGAUGCAAGUGUAGCUCAAGGCCAGGCAUGGUGGCUCACGCCUCUAAUCCCAGCACUUUGGGAGGCUGAGAUGAGUGGAUCACUUGAAGUCGGGAGUUCAAGACGAGCCUGGCCAACGUGGUGAAACCUUGUCUCUUACUAAAAAUACAAACAUUAGCCAGGGGUGGUGCCUCAGGCCUGUAAUCCCAGCUACUCGGGAGCCUGAGGCAGGAGAAUCACUUGGACCAGGGAGGCAGAAGUUGCAGUGAGCUGAGAUCACGCCACUGCACUCCAGCCUGGGUGACAGAGCGAGACUCUGUCUAAAACAAAACAAAACAAAACAAAACAACCACACAAAUGUAGCUCAAUUAGGAUAAUUUAUGGUCCCAGUCAUGAGCACUCCACCAGGGGUCUGAGGGACUGAAGACAGACCUGGGCACUAACAGAAAGAACAAGUCACUCUCGGCACAGCGACUACACACGCCCUAGAGCUGUGGUUCCCUGACUUUCACCUGCCGUGCCUGUCAAGCACGUUGUGGCCAACCUGGCUUAGUCCAGGCAUGGCAGGUCCCCAUGCAAUGACAAACAAAGCAGGAGCUUCCUGUUGGGUUUCCACGGCAGCCUCAGGGCCCAGCUAGCCAGAAAGAGUGUGGCCAGCAGGCACUGCCCCGCUCAGGUUGGGACCCAGCCAGUGAGCUGAAUGUUCAGGAAGGCCUUCAGAAAAUCAGUCAGCGACUAGAGCUUUUUAAAAAAACAAACAAACAAAAAAAACCAAUAGCCUUGAAACCUACCUGAGGUGGGGCUGCAAAAUGGACACUGUGGACUCAUCUGCUUAGCAACUUUACCACAUCCUGAGUUGGCACGUUUUAAAUACUUAACUGCACUGCACCGCCUGGCCCUUUAUCCAGGGAAAUUAGGAACAGAUAGAAUCAGAAACCACAGAGACACAGGCAAGAAUGGAUGCAACUAGAAAUCUGUUUUGGAUUAUCAGACUGGAACUAGGAUUUCCAGCUCGGUACAUCAGACGCCUGAGCACAUAAAACCCCUGCUUUUUCCUGAGCGCACCAGUUCUGCCUUCUGUGUGGAGUAAGAGUUUGACAGGCGUCCCAAUUCCACGUUCACGUGAGAGCAGAACAUCUUUAAUGCAAAGGCCCAAAGCUUUUCCUGAUUAAAGUAGUGUUAGCCUCAGCGGCCCAGGGACACGAUUCUUGGAGGAAGCUAUGGGGCUCAAGGAGGCCUUUCUUCCAUUCUUAGUCUUCAUGGAUUGGGAGGAUUUCCUGUGUCAGCGGAAGUUAGUCUAGGAGUUCUUACCAUGGGAGGACUUCGGGAGGACUUAGCAUGGGAGGACUCCUAGUCCGGGAGUUCUUGGCAUGGGAGGACUUCUUAGCAUAGGAAGACCUCCUAUGCUAAGAACUCCUAGCCUAGGUCCCACUGACGGAGGAGAUGCUGACGGCCGGCAGAGGAGCCCUUCUGCCGAGAGGAAGCCAAGGUGCUGCCGGGAAGAGCAAGGGCCCUUCCUGAGGCCUUGUGGAAGCAAACACCACUCCCCACUGCCUGAGAACUGGAGCGAAGAGAGCAUCUCACGAUGACUCCAGGGCUACAGAGAAUGGAGACCAACUUGCACUUCCUAAGGAAGUCCCAAAGAAACUUCCCUUUCAGGACCCUCUGCUCAGGGAAAUGGGUGAGGCCUCCAACCUGGGUUAGGUGGACUGGGGGACAGGGCUCUGAAUCCUUGGCUCUACUGCAACAAGAGAAAUUAUUCUCUGAGGUGUUCCAUAUACCGGGUUCAUUUCUAACAUGUUUCGGUUACAAUAGAUCUGGGUCCCCCUUGAUUAGAGGAGCUGUCCGCAGGCAACCUUUUCUUGGUACCUUCUUCCUGACAUAUCAAGACUUGCUGAGACUAGGGAGUCUUCCCUUUGGGACGAAGGGAAAUUCCAUUCUCUUGAUCAUGAUUUUGACAGCUGGGGAGCCCAGCCCGGCCUUCCUCCUGGCUGUUUGGAACAGUGGACCGUGAUGCUGAGGCGAGAAGGGGCAGUCCUGCCUCUGCGCCUCCACUACUCACCUGAGGGACACAGACAAGAUCCGUUCUAUCUCGAUUUUCCGCUUCAGGACUUCUUUCACCAGGCCCUUGUCUGGGCCCUGUUUGACUUUUUCUCGUCCGAUUAAGUACAAGCACUUUGGGGUAAGGAGCAGGUCUCGCUUUACACCCUGUAAGGAGAGGAGCUUUAAGAAGCUGGACAGGCCAGGCACGGUGGCUCACACCUGUAAUCCCAGUACUUUGGGAGGCUGAAGCGGGUGAAUCACCUGAGGUCAGGAGUUCGAGACCAGCCUGACCAACAUGGUGAAACCCCGUCUCUACUGAAAAUACAAAAAUUAGCUGGGUGUGGUGGUGGGCGCCUGCAAUCCCAACUACUUGGGAGGCUGAGGCAGGAGAAUCGCUUUAACCUGGGAGGUGGAGGUUGCAGUGAGCCGAGACUGCGCCAUUGCACUCCAGCCUGGGUGACGGAGCAAGACUCCGUCUCAAAAAAAAGGUGGACAGACAUGGUCAAUGUGAUGACAACAAUUCACACAGUGGACCGCUGUUACCAGGACAGGGGGAAGCUGCCUUGGACAGUCAAUCUUCACUACUGUUGAGAGGCCAUUCCAUUCAUCACAUGACCGGGCCCCAUGACAGUGAAAGAGGGCAUUGUUCAUGAUUAUUAGGAUGACAUGUAAAAAAUGAUGACAUUUGACUCUUUUUGACUUAAAAACUGGCAAACUCAUAUGGAGUCAGUUCAUGUAUCAGGACAGCAGGUGUAAAGGGAAAGUCACCAACACCUGUGGUGAACUUACCAAGGAUGCACUACAGCAUGUUUCUAAACGGGGGCAGUGUCUGCAUAUAUUUUCUUGGGAGUUCAUAAAAUUUUCAUUUUAAAAUACUGAUAUAUUGUCAUUUGAAUGAUAAUUCUCAAUAAUCUAAUAUAAAUCUACUUGGGAAUUUGUGGGUAACCGCUUUAUAAUGAGUACCGCUGCGAGAGCUAAGCACCCCGGUGUGCAUCCAGGGCUGCCGUCACAGCAGCUGGUGCCAUGCACAGGUUGCAAGGAAUGGUUUGGUUUUAGCAAAACAUGCUUCCGUUGUUUAUUUCAUUAAAUUUUUUUCUUGACCUCCCCGCCCCUGGCAAAAAACCAAAAGCUCUUAACGGGUCCAUGAGCUGCUGAAGCUUCAGAUUUUUCUAUUAGGAGCAAGACUUUAUCAAAAGGCAUCUAAAGGAGGAGGUGAAAAAUCAACUGUUCCUCCUGUGGCUGGGAAAGCCUUACUUAUCAGCCACUCUGGGAAAAUGGAUGAGGAUACUCUGCAAUAUUACUUGAUAUUCUGAAUCCUUUGAUUCAACGAUUUCACUCCUAUCAAUUUCUUCUAAAAAUAUUAGGAGACAGAUAGAUACACAAAGAUGUGUGAAAAGAUGCUCAUUGAAGUUAUGAUAGUAAAAAAGAAAAACUCACUAAAAAUUAAUUCAUGAGAAACUGGUUAAAAAUAAUAAAGCAUCUGUCAAAUGGAAUACUAUGCAGCCAUGUAAAAUAACUUAUAUUGCUAACUGUAUUACUAUCGAAAAUUCUCCCUGGCAUUAUUUAAAAGACAAACAAACAAAAAACCACUUCAGGACAUAAAACAGCAUGUAAUGUAUAUCUCAUUUUUUGUAAAACUAAAUACGCAAAUGUAUGUUUUCAUAAAAACAUUCUGAAAGAUAUGGAUAUACACAGAAUGUUAACAGUGAUUGUUUCUGGGCAUAGGUGCCUGUUUUUCUUUUGGUUUACUGUAUUUUCUCUAAAUUUUUCUACAACGAACACAUUCUGAUUUGGUAACAACAAAAGCAAAAUAACAAGUUAUUAAAAAAAUAAGGAAUCUGUUUGGUGAUCUCAGAGGCAGGCAGUUAGCACGUACCUUGAACCUCCUGUCAUACUUGGUGACUGUGUCUGCGAAAUCAAUCUUCUCCCUCUUGCCCACGAACUGCUGGAGUUCUGGGUGCUCUUCCAUCCCAAUAUAAUCCCCUAUAAAGUUCCUGUUAAUACUGUUUCUCCUUCUCUCCUUCUUGUUCAAUAAGAGGUCCGAGGCUACAAUUCCCAAGAGGGUGAAGAUGGAAGAAGGAUAAGUCAGUCAGAAAAGGUAGGAAAAUACUGUGGAAAUAUACAAAGAAACUCUAAAUGAUGCAAUAUUUUUAGCGUGACAUUAUAUGCAAAAUAAAAUGGAACUUAAAACUUCACUUAAGCUCCAAUUUACUCUUCAGAUUUGUUAAAAUCAAUGAAACAAAAUUGCUAAAAUACCUUCUUCUCUCAUUUGAACGUAUUUCUUCCGGGCCACGAAUUUCCUCCAUGAUUUCUGUAUCACUCGAGCAUACCCAUCAUACUUUCUCUCUCUCAUCUCUUCUAAAAGAAAUAGCUGUGAAUGGAGAGAAGACAAAUGUGAGCCAAGCCUCAAGCCUCAAUCCCUGAACAACACUUUUCUUGUUAUUCCAGGGACACUCAGUUUAGACAAUGACACACACGGGAAGCAGCUUCUCUGAUUCAUGAACGAAUAUGUGAAACGCUUACUGUGGCAUGUUGUUUAUUCUUACUAUAAAACGACCUAUACCUUUUUUUCUUUUAAUGGAAAACAAUGGGAAAUAGGAGAAUCUGAGUGUAUUCAGUUAGACCUUGUCCUGCUUUGCUACAGUCCCUGUGAGAAUCGAAUGAGCGAUUCAAUGCUUCUCCACUUAUUCCCCACCUUGAUCCAAAGAGUAUAUUAUUAGGAAGUCAGAUCAAGUGAGUGGGUGGAGGCUGUUGCUGUUGUUUGGCGUGGCAUUUCGGCAUGCAGCCUCUAAACAGAAUUUUCCAGUUUCUGCAGGAGCUGGGCUUGUGCUGCUGUGGAAGGAGGGCUGCCCUACUUUUAGUUCCAAGAAAAUAUAGACUUCCUGUCUCAGGAUUCACCAAUCUCAGGAUUCACCAAGGAGCAGCGGAGCAGAGGAUAAUAACCACAGUGACUGGAGCUGGACGUGAGGUGUGUUAAUGAGGACUUGCAUUUGCCCAGAAAGGCUGGGGCUGUUUAGGAACCACAUCAGCCUCUAGCAGGUCUUGAGAGUCUGGCUAUUUUACCAAUGAAUGCUGACAGCUGCGCCUCAACCAGGCCUUGGAAUGAUAAAGGUGACAGCAAACAGCUGUAGUGAGCCGAGUGCCCACUAUGGGGCAGAAGUCACCCUAGAUGAUUUCCACACAGUUUCAUUCAACGCCUCCACAGCUACAUGAGCCGCAUACUCUGUCAUCUCUAUUUUACAGAUGAGAACAUUGGAACUAAGACUGGGUGGGGCUAGAAAGUGAACCUAGGUCUUUCAGGCUCUGCCAGCCUCCUCCUCAUUUAGACACGCAAAGCUUUCUCUGUAAAUCUGCACUUGAUCCACUUGUAAAAUAGUAGGAAACCUUCUCAUUUACCUUGAGAGUGGCUUACAUGACUCUCUAGGAAAAAAAUAAAAUCAACCAAUAAAAAUCCAAA